rnacentral:rRNA from 1 species
CUAUCCUACGGGGGGCAGCAGUGGGGAAUAUUGCACAAUGGGGGGAACCCUGAUGCAGCGACGCCGCGUGGGUGAAGGAGUAUUUCGGUAUGUAAAGCCCUCUCAGCAGGGAAGAACAAUGACGGUACCUGACUAAGAAGCACCGGCUAAAUACGUGCCAGCAGCCGCGGUAAUACGUAUGGUGCAAGCGUUAUCCGGAUUUACUGGGUGUAAAGGGAGCGUAGACGGCAGCGCAAGUCUGGAGUGAAAUGCCGGGGCUCAACCCCGGAACUGCUUUGGAAACUGUGCAGCUAGAGUGCGGGAGG